GACGAACGCUGGCGGCGUGCUUAACACAUGCAAGUCGUACGGUAAGGCCCUUUCGGGGGUACACGAGUGGCGAACGGGUGAGUAACACGUGAGUAACCUGCCCACAACUUUGGGAUAACGCUAGGAAACUGGUGCUAAUACUGGAUAUGUGCUCCUGCUGCAUGGUGGGGGUUGGAAAGCUCCGGCGGUUGUGGAUGGACUCGCGGCCUAUCAGCUUGUUGGUGGGGUAGUGGCCUACCAAGGCGGCGACGGGUAGCCGGCCUGAGAGGGUGACCGGCCACAUUGGGACUGACAUAAGGCACAGACACCGACGGGAGGCAGCAGUGGGGAAUCUUGCACAAUGGGCGCAAGCCUGAUGCAGCAACGCCGCGGGCGGGAUGACUGUCUUCGGGUUGUAAAACGAUUUCAGCAGGGACGAAGCUUUUUGUGACGGUACCUGCAGAAGAAGCACCGGCUAACUACGUG
rnacentral:rRNA from 1 species